CUUCGCCUAGUCUGUUUCCACCCAAGGCAGCUACAGCUUCACUUCCUGCUUACUCCAACUUUCUGCCCGCCUCCUGCCCAUCCCGCGACUCCAGCCUCUCGGGCUCCUGUCACACGUAACUAACUGCAGGUUUCUCCAGAGAAGAUUUAUUAGAAAAGACCCAUGAAGAAAUGUAUCGCCCGACCUUUGGACUAUUUCACGAGACAUAACACUGAGGGCUGUGUAUGAGUCGGGAAGAGAUACGGUGGAGACCAAUGACUCCUGGAACAAAAUCAAAUCAUGCCACCCGCAAAGAGCUGCUGAAUUAUCUCAGCCCAUUAAUUGUUUGUUUUAGGGCAAUUUUGUUUUUUCCAGACAGAUGUAUUUCUUGUAUCCAGAAAGCUCUAGAUGAUUGCUGCCACCCUACUUGGAUCACCCAGAACUUUAGAUUUCUCAAAAGAAGCUGUCCUUAACUUUACAAUCAUCUUCCCAUUUUUAAAAAAGAUUUGUUUAUUUUAUGUACGUGAGUACACUGUAACUGUCCUCACACACACCAGAAGAGGGCAUAGGGCCACAUUACAGAUGGUUGUGAGCCACCAUGUGGUUACUGGGAAUUGAACUCAGGACCUCUGGAAGAGCAGUCAGUGCUCUUAACCACUGAGCCGUCUCUCCAACCCGCUUCCCAUUUAUUUUUAUUUGGUGUUCUGCCUGUAUGUAUGUCUGUGCACUACGUGGUGGAAGUCACAGAGACUAGAGAGGUAUAGGAUGGGAGGUGUUGACAGUUGAGAGCUGCUUGAGUGGAGGUCAGAGGACAACUUGCAGGAGUUGAUUGUCUCCUCCCACCAAGUGGGUGCCAAGGAGUCUGAGUUUGGUAGCAAUUACUGAACCAUCCUGCCAGCCUUUGUUAUCGUUGAAAGACCCCCUCCCAGAAAGGGAAUUGUACAAGCCCAAGGCCCUCAACUAUAGAAGUAAAAAGUAAGUUUUUAGAUAUGUGGGACAAGCUGACCCAACAUUUAGACGAAACAGACCAUAAAAGAAAACAAAAUACAAAAACUAGACUAAAAUAUGGGCAUUGCUCCAUGGGCCACCUGGCGGGGGAAAAGAAACAGUCCCUGACCCCCCGGGAGACCCGACCACCAUGUACUUUUUGCUAACUCAUUGUUAUGAUUAUAGCCAAAAUAGGUAACAUACACGUAUGCCUCAUUUACUCCACCAAUCACAUCCCUGUAACCAUACAUCUGCUUCUGUAAGCCUGCUUCUGCUCCCAAUACACUAUAAAAACCCGUCCCUGGUUCUGCUAGGCGCGCCAGUCUUCCGAAUUGACUGGGACGCCCACAGAUACCUGUGUAUCCUGAUCAAUAAAAAUCCUCUUGCUAAUUACA